CCAGCAGUUCGACGGGAAUGCGGCAUUUCUCCAUUCGAUGCACUGUUUUUUUUAGAGAGUAGUUCAGUGAGACUUGCUCCGCUUUGCGGUAUCAAGCAUUUGAGCAGGGGCCGUUUUGAUAAAACGAUGGCAUUGACUUUCUGUGCUUGUUUCGUCAUUCCGCUGGCCUCUCUCCUCUUCUCCACAACAUUGUUCGCCCACCCUCUCUGAUAUCGAGAGUACUCUUGCUGAUAUGCAUUUCUUGGACACGAAGCACUCGGCAGUAUCAUCAUGUUUCAGAGUACAACAUCGAAGGACCCAUGCUGCAGUUCCGCGUCUACUCCGUGGGCACCAGUGCAGCAGCAGCAUGUCUGCUUGACGCACCCGAGGUCGACUACAUAGUCAUUGGACUGAACCUGAACUGCAGAAGGUCACAGGCUCUGCUCUGGACUGUAGACUUGCUACUUCUUUGUGACACACACAUACACAUAGCCAACGUCUCUGUUCAGGCACUGUUUAAUCCAUCCAAUAUGAAGAUAGACACUUCGCUUCAAAGGUCCAAUAGCGGGAUCGUGAAUAACGCUGGUCCGAUAACCCAGCCAC